AGACCCUGCCUUUAAAACAACGUUGAAGAGAAUUCCAGAUUGUAAUACUUGUCUCAGGUUGUUUAGUAAAGGGGAAGGUGGGUAGAUGGGAGCCCCUGAGAGUUCUAAACUGAGCUCUGCUCUGAUUAUCUUAGUUCUGUUAGAAUGUGUUGCUCACACCCAUUUUCCACUAGCUUCUAGCUGUGGUUUUUGUCCAAGAUGCCAUGUUUUUAUGUCCUUUGGUUCCAAAGGUUAUUCCUUGUCUGAAUAAAAAGGUAGUAAGCCGUCAAAUUACGUAAAACCCCAGAUGGCUUCUGCAGUCAUCCAGGGUUGUUAAACUCUUCAGCUUAACUAAAUUCAGGCCAGCUUUUUCUUCCCCUUUUAUUAGCUCUCCAUAUGUAGAAAGAUUGAUGAGAUCACCAUUACAGAUUUUCACUUUUUCGAUGUUAGGGUUUGUUGUAAAUAAAAGUCUCUGUGAAGACUAAGCUGGCCCUGAACUCAGAGAUCCUCCUGCCUCUGCCUCCCAAGUGCUUGGAUUAAAGCUGUGCUCCACUACGCCUUGCGUAGUUAGAAUUUUCUACAUGACCAUAACUGGAUGUCCCAGCCAAACAAAUAUACUAAUUUCUCUUAGGAUCACUGGAAACUUGAAUUUCAAAGAAUUGUGUGGUUGUGAUGAUUACUUGGUGCCAUUUGGAGUUUACUAUAUGAAAUGCGCUGUGUGGAGAACUCUAUGGCAUAGAGCUGUAAGAAUGCUAACAUGUCCCAUAUAAUAAAUGCUGUAUCCUUAUGGAAAUGGAAGUGGAGAACUUCAUUCUGCU
rnacentral:lncRNA from 1 species